rnacentral:rRNA from 1 species
CGUGUAGGCGGAUGGGAACGUCGGUCUUUGAAAGCCCCCGGCUCAACCGGGGAAGCGGAGCCGAAACGACCGAUCUGGAGGGGCGUAGGGGGACCUGGAACUUCCGGUGGAGCGGUGAAAUGCGUUGAGAUCGGAAGGAACGCCCGUGGCGAAAGCGAGGUCCUGGACGUCUGCUGACGCUGAGACGCGAAAGCUAGGGGAGCAAACGGGAUUAGAUACCCCGGUAGUCCUAGCCGUAAACGAUGGGCACUAGGUAGAGGGCUCGCCGAUGGGCUCUCUGCCGGAGCGAAAGUGUGAAGUGCCCCGCCUGGGGAGUAUGGUCGCAAGGCUGAA